GAUGUGGGUCCGGGGGUCUUCUGCUGCGGAUUAAAGCGACUCCCAGCCUUUUAUACCCGCCCCCUGCUCCCCAUUGGCUCCUAUUUACAGUCCAUUCAUUCCAUUGGACAGAGGGCCACGUGAUCCGUCUCUCACCCCCAUGUCUCUCUCUCUCUGUGCUGUCUCAGGUGCAGUUCCUGCCUGCUGCAGUGCCUCUGAGCCAGGCUGAUCAGGAGGGUGAAGACCAGUGCACCUUUCAAUUUACUGCCACUUGAUAUCGUCACCAAAAACCGAGACGAUGCAUCACAUCAGACUGUAUCCCCAUCGAUUAUGUUCCCCAACACAAGACCCUGAACAUGAUGCUUCAGUGUUCCUUCAGCAUCUUUAAUGUGACACCUGAGACUUAAGAUGGCAGCACCCGGGCUGGAAGUCUUUGUUAACAUCAUCCUGAUCACUGCCUCCUUAUUGGACUCCAAUAUGAUUUCAUUAACUUACAACAAUCAAGCAAUACAGUUGAGACUUUCCUUUCAGAUCACUACAAAAUGCCACUAUUCAGGGCAUGUGUGAAAGUUUUCGUUUGGUAAAAGGAGAAUAAAGAGAGGCUCAGUUUAAAAACAGCCCUGAACUCAACAUGAAGUCACAGAAGAUGCUAAAAAGGACUAAAUCUGCUGAAAUUUUUUUUGUCAAAUUCACUAAGAUGGUGCAAAACAAGCUACAGUCAAAACAAGAAUUACCCUAAAACCAGUCUGUAGCCAGUCCAAAACCAAAUCCAAAAUCAACACAAAAAUGCAUCCAAAAUUCAUUUAAAAUUAACUCCAAAACAGUCAACAAACCUAUCCUAAAUCUGAUUCGAAAACCAAGACUAAACCUGGUCCAAAACAAGACUAAAAUCAAUUCCAAAAACAAAUCUAAAAUCCCCUCUACACCAGCCUAAACCCAGCCUAAAACAAUUUCAAAAAACAAUUUAACAUCAAUCCCAAAUCAGUCUAAAACCAGUCCAAAGCUGAGCCCAAAAUUAGCUCAUAAUCAGUCCAAAUCCAAAAAUCAGCACAAACCAAGUCCAAAAGCAAGCCUGAAAUCAAAUCUCAAGUCAUACCCAGUCUAAAACCAGUCCUAAACACAUCCAAAAACCAGUGCAUAAUCAAGCCCAAAAACUAGUUCAGAACAAAUCGACAAUCAACCUAAAACAAGUCCAAAGCUAAGCCCAAAACGGACUCAAAACCAGCUCAAAACUGAAUCCAAAACUGGCUCAAAAAAGUCCAUAAACUGGUCCAAAACCACAUCUAAAAUCAACCCCAAACCAGCCCGAAACAGGUCCAAAAACCUAUUUAAAACCAAAAUCAACCCACACCAAAUCUAAAAUCAACCUAAACCCAGUCGAACACAGAGUGCUAAUUUCACCAUCAUGGCAUCAGUCUGGACUAAAUGAGGCAAACUAAGUCCACCAGAGGACUGUGGAAAGCUCUCCGAGAUGCUAAACAAUGUUCCUGCACAGUAGCUUAUAUUGAAGCUAUUUACAGAAUAGAUGUUAUAUUUGUAGCUCUGUUACUGGUAACAAAGAUUGAUUGAAUUAUCAGCUGAGUGAUCGAACACUGCAGCAGGACGACGACAAACUGCCCUCAGUGGGGCGGACGGGGUUUCUGUGGUGACGGAGCACUUUCUCCUGCAGCUUUAAAUUAUUCAUCACCUGCAGGAGGCUGCACGUGUGUGUGUAUGCGUGUGUGUUCUACAUCUCCAGCUAUCUUUGUGAGAACCAAUUUGAGUUUUAGUGACGACAUUUUGGCCAGUCUUCACCUUUUCGCCUUCUAUCACAUCUGAAGAGAACUGCAUAUCUUAAAACGUGUCUGCUGGCUUCUACUGACUGCCAGAGAUGUGGACACAGAUCUACUGCGAUCUAAGGUUCAGGAGUCCAAGGUUAAGGAACAUUUACUGAGUAGAAUGGAGGAUCAGCAGACAAUCAAGAGAUCUCAACUCUUAAUAGACCUACUUGAAUCCAACUGACAGCCAUGAAGCUUAAAUGACGUCCUCUGAAAUCUGUGGAUCUGCUGGGAUCUUAUGGACUGAUCAUCUAGGAUACUGGACUCUUAGGAGAUCUACUGUGUUGAUUGGAGUCCAGAGAAAGCGACUCUUGCAGGAUUAUUUGUGGUUAGGUGUUGGUCAAGAACAAAAAAUGAAACUAGCUUCUUGCUGUUAAUAUAUUGGUUAAAUAUUAAACAGAGGAUUCCAGAUGCUGAUACAAGGAGACGGAGGACACUUCUGCUGCUCAGUUUGUACUCAGUGACCUCAGUCAGAUGGGUUUUUUUGUGUUGAGGUGUAUUAUUGUCCCUUGUUCACUGGCGUAUCUUGCUGAGUUGUUACUGCAGCGGCUCACUCCUCGCUGUACUGCAGCCUGAGGGAUUCCUCCUUAAAGCUGCAGAUUACAUAAUCUGCCUGCUGCUGGAUUAAAGCAGUCAGAUCACACAGAGGAAGGGUUUUAUCAGAGGGAAGGCUGUGGUUUGGCCCCACCCACUCCUCUGGUGAUAUUACGUACUGGUUUGAAAGGCAUAAAAGAGAUUGGAAACAUAACAUGAUGUCAUGAUGAUAGAGGUUCAACAGUUUCACAUUGAGGCCUCAGUUGCUGCUCCUCGUCAUCAGACCAACAAUGAAACACUGGGCUGGAAUGGAUCUGCUGCAGGGAUCUACUGGGAUCUACUAGACUCCCAAAAGAUCUCCAGGAUCAUAUGGAUUUUGUAGACUAUAUUGUACUGUGCUGUAUUCUACUGGGCUCCACUGAAUCUUAAAGAGAUCCACUGGAUGCACUACUUGGCUGCUCAGAGGUUUACUGGUUGGUGGAGGUUGGUUGCAGUGUACUGAAUGAGAAUACAGAAACCUAUUUAUUGAUUUUUUUUAAAGCCUUCUGCCUAUGGAAUUAACUGAAUCUAACCCUGCACUUCACUGUAAUUAUACAAGAUUUAAAAUGUUUCCUGCUGUCUACAAAAGAACUAGAUAGAUCUACUGAGGUCUACUGGUUCCAAGUUGAUCCCAUAUUGUAUACUGGACCUAAAAUGAUCUGUUAGAAUCCAGUAGCCUGUUGAACUAAACAGAUCAACUGCUACCCAGUAAACAUCCUACAGUGAUCUGUUGGGAUCUGCUUGAUUUUAAGAGAUCUUUUGCAAUCGAAAACUGAUUUGAAAAGUUGAGGUUGUAUUGAUCUACUGGACAGUAAAGUCUUGAUCAAAGCAUUUCAAGUGGUGUCUUCUGAAGCUAAAUAAAUUGGUAUCCAGUGAAUUCUGAAAAAAUCUGCUGGGAUAUACUGGGAUAUAAAGACUGCAGGGAUCUGCUGGACUUUUGGAAGGGUUUUUUUUGUGGAUUAGCUAGACUUUGUAGACUGCAUAGAUCAAAUUGUACUGUGUGGAAUUGUACUGGGCUCAAUAGAAAUCUGUAGAUAUCUACUGGACUCAACUGAGUCUUAAAGCAAUCCACUGGAUCCACUACUGGGCAGAUGUAGCAUGAUUGCUGUACUCUAAAAUCUAAAUAUGUAGACAGAGAAAUUACUGAUUCAUAAAGCAUUCUAACUUUGGAUUCAUCUUGGACUAACUUUGGACUUCAUUGUAACUGUACAAGAUUUUAAAUGUUUCCAGCAGUCUACUAAAAGCUAGAUAGAACCAUGGAGAUCUGCUGGAUCCAAGUUGAUCUAAUCUGAAAAACUGAAGCAUUUAGGAUCUGUCAGGAUCCACAUGUCUGUUUAAAUCUAAAAGAUGAAGUGAUGUCUGGUAAACAUCCUAAAGUGAUCUGUUAGGAUCUCCUGGACUUUAGGAAACCUGUCCACGGGAAUCUGAAUAAGUUUAUACAAAGUUGUAGAGACUUGCACAUCUGAUUAAAUUUGCUAAAUUCUGAAAUCUACAAGAUGUAAGGAAGAUCUAGUGGCACCAACAGGAAUGUUCUGAUUGCCCCUGAACAGUAAAAUCUGGAUCAAAACAUUUCAACUGGGGUCCACUAAACACAGAUUGCCUGGUGUCCAACGAAAUCUAAAGCAAUCUGCUAUGAUAUACUAAAAUAUAAAGAUGACCACGGGGGUCUGCUGGACUGUUGAGGGAUCAGCUGAGAUCUACUGGACUCUGGAUUCUUGUACUAUAGACUAUCAGCCAGAAGCCACUUUAUCUUACACAAAUCUGUAGACCUCCACUGGAAUACAGUGCAACAUACAGUGAUCUCAAGCAAUCCUCCUGGUCUACUAAAGGGAUCUAUUGUCAUCCCCUUGUCCUUGCAGUGACUUUUUGAGACCCAACAGAUUCUUGAAGGAUCUACUUGACUGUGAAAAGACCUGCUCAUGUGUGAAUUUAUUGUGUAGUCACAUGACUAUCUCCCCUCAGAAGUAGUUGUUCCUUCCUCCAGGCUACCCACGAUGCCACGCUGCUGCUGCUGAUGUGUCAUAUGAUGCUUGGGAUGCAUUUGCUCCACAGCAGAAGAAUAAAGAGCUUUAAGAGGGCGA